CCUACGGGAGGCAGCAGUGGGGAAUAUUGCACAAUGGGGGAAACCCUGAUGCAGCGACGCCGCGUGAGUGAAGAAGUAAUUCGUUACGUAAAGCUCUAUCAGCAGGGAAGAAAAUGACGGUACCUGAGUAAGAAGCACCGGCUAACUACGUGCCAGCAGCCGCGGUAAUACGUAGGGUGCAAGCGUUAUCCGGAUUUACUGGGUGUAAAGGGAGCGGAGACGGUGCGCCAAGUCUGGGGUGAAAUGCCGCAGCUUAACUGCGAGACUGUUUUGGAAACUGGCUAACUAGAGUGCGGGAGGGGUAACCGGAAUUCCUAGUGUAGGAGUGAAAUGCGUAGAUAUUAGGAGGAACACCGGUGGCGAAGGCGGGUUACUGGACCGGAACUGACGUUGAGGCACGAAAGCGUAGGGAGCAAACGGGAUUAGAUACCCGAGUAGUC
rnacentral:rRNA from 1 species